rnacentral:rRNA from 1 species
CCUACGGGGGGCAGCAGAGAGGAAUAUUGGUCAAUGGGCGGGAGCCGGAACCAGCCAAGUCGCGUGAAGGAAGAAGGUACUGAGGAUUGUAAACUUCUUUUGUCGGGGAACAAAGGCGGAGACGCGUCACCGGAUGAGUGUACCCGAAGAAAAAGCAUCGGCUAACUCCGUGCCAGCAGCCGCGGUAAUACGGAGGAUGCGAGCGUUAUCCGGAUUUAUUGGGUUUAAAGGGUGCGCAGGAGGGAGAUCAAGUCAGCGGUAAAAUGUCGGGGCUCAACCCCGGCCGGCCGGUGAAACUGGUUUUCUCGAGUUGGCGCGAAGUCUGCGGACUUCUUGGUGUAGCGGUGCC